GAUGAACGCUAGCGGCAGGCUUAACACAUGCAAGUCGAGGGGUAUAGGUUUUCGGACCUAGAGACCGGCGCACGGGUGCGUAACGCGUAUGCAAUCUACCUUUCACAGAGGGAUAGCCCAGAGAAAUUUGGAUUAAUACCUCAUAGUAUUAUAGAAUGGCAUCAUUUUAUAAUUAAAGUCACAACGGUGAAAGAUGAGCAUGCGUCCCAUUAGCUAGUUGGUAUGGUAACGGCAUACCAAGGCUACGAUGGGUAGGGGUCCUGAGCGGGAGAUCCCCCAGACUGGUAGUGAGACACGGACCAGACUCCUACGGGAGGCAGCAGUGAAGAAUAUUGGUCAAUGGGCGCAAGCCUGAACCAGCCAUGCCGCGUGCAGGAUGACGGUCCUAUGGAUUGUAAACUGCUUUUGUACGGGAAGAAACACUCCUACGUGUAGGAACUUGACGGUACCGUAAGAAUAAGGAUCGGCUAACUCCGUGCCAGCAGCCGCAGUAA
rnacentral:rRNA from 1 species